AGAUUGAGUACUAUUUCAGUUCGGAGAAUUUGUACACCGAUCAUUACCUGAAAAAGCAAAUGGAUGAUCACGGUUGGGUUCCAGUAACUUUAAUUGCACAGUUUAGGAGAGUUCAACGAUUAAUGAACGAAAGACAAUCCAUAUAUGAUUCUUUCAGGCUCUGGAGCUUCAUGGAAAUGCAGGU